rnacentral:rRNA from 1 species
UACAGAGGUCUCAAGCGUUGUUCGGAUUCAUUGGGCGUAAAGGGUGCGUAGGCGGUAGAGUAAGUCAGGUGUGAAAUCUCGGAGCUCAACUCCGAAACUGCACUUGAUACUGCUUUGCUAGAGUACUGGAGAGGAGAUUGGAAUUUACGGUGUAGCAGUGAAAUGCGUAGAUAUCGUAAGGAAGACCAGUGGCGAAGGCGAAUCUCUGGACAGUUACUGACGCUGAGGCACGAAGGCCAGGGGAGCAAACGGG